GAAGCAUCUGAAGCACCUGAAGCAAGAGGUCAAAUUGCUGUCUUGGAAGGAAUGCUGCGGAAGGAGAAGGAAGAAUUUGAAGAAUCUCUCCAGAAAAUUUUGAACAAGGAGGCGAAAAAGGUGCAGCCUGUCAUUGAUAUUUUCGAGAUUAAUCGGUUACGAAGGCAAUUUAUUUUCCAAUCUUAUAUGUGGGAUCACCGUCUCGUAUAUGCGGCCAGCUUAGAAUGUGAGGAUCAUUGUGUUACUGAAGAGAAACCUCUUGUUGGUAAUGAUAAGUCCACUGGUCCAGAUAAUCCCUCCAGGCCUAGUGACUGUUUGAACGUCAUUGAUUCUGUUUCUGUAACUCCAAUACUUGGUGAAAAAUAUAAUGAUGGAGUAAGUGGUAGCCAAAAGAAUCAUGUGGACACAGUUCAUCAAGGAUCUGAGGUUCUCCUUGAUUCUAGUUGCGCAGUUGAGAAACCAGCAGGUCUCCCCGCUGGAACAGAAAGCUUCUGCGGGUUGAACUCUGCAGAAUCCACUGCAGAGGGGUCUAGAGCCCUUUCUGAUGGGCAGUCCGCGGUCAUGG
rnacentral:misc_RNA from 1 species